UCAGCCUUGCUUGUGGCUAUCUUUUUCAGGUUUGCUAUUGUUUUGGGUGCUAGUCUUACUUGGCCUACCCAGCUCCCUCUGGGUUGGACGGUCAAGUGGGAUCCCUCCUCGGACGGCGAGGACAGGGGUCAUUGAUGCCAUGAUCGGCUUCGUCAUGAUAUCGUGUAUCGAUAAUUAGCUUUCGCUUGUUUUACUUCUUGUUAUUUACAACCUUGCAAACUCUAUUUGAAUUUUG
rnacentral:lncRNA from 1 species